GCCCGGGUGGCGGAACUGGUAGACGCUACGGACUUAAAAUCCGUUGACCCGAAAGGGUCGUGCCGGUUCAAUUCCGGCCCCGGGCACCA
rnacentral:tRNA from 1 species